rnacentral:tRNA from 1 species
CAUUAGAUGACUGAAAGUAAGUGUAAGUCUUUUAAACUUAUUAUAGUAAUUAACAACUACUUCUAGUGA